rnacentral:rRNA from 1 species
UACAGAGGGGGCAAGCGUUGUUCGGAAUUACUGGGCGUAAAGGGCGCGUAGGCGGCCGCCUAAGUCAGACGUGAAAUCCCUCGGCUCAACCGGGGAACUGCGUCUGAUACUGGGUGGCUUGAAUCCGGGAGAGGGAUGCGGAAUUCCAGGUGUAGCGGUGAAAUGCGUAGAUAUCUGGAGGAACACCGGUGGCGAAGGCGGGUCUCUGGGCAACAACUGACGCUGAGGAGCGAAAGCGUGGGGAGCGAACAGG